AACGAACGCUGGCGGCAUGCCUAACACAUGCAAGUCGAACGAGACCUUCGGGUCUAGUGGCGCACGGGUGCGUAACGCGGGGGAAUCUGCCCUUCGGUUGGGUAUAUCUUAGAGAAAUUUCAGCUAAUACCUUAUAAUGUCUUAGGACCAAAGAUUUAUCGCCGAGGGAUGGGGCCGCGUAGGAUUCGGUAGUUGGUGGGGUAAUUGGCUACCGAGCCGACGAUCCUUAGCUGGUCUUAGAGGAUGACCAGCAACACUGGGAGUGGGACACGGACCAGAUCCCUAGGGGAGGAAGGAAGGGGGAACAAUGAACGCCGGGCGAGAGAAUGAGCCAGUCAGGUCGUGUGACUGAUUAAGGCCUGAGGGUUGUAAAGCUCUUUUAACCGGGAUGAUAAUGACAGUACCGGAAGAAUAAGCGCCGGCUAACUACGUG
rnacentral:rRNA from 1 species